UUCAUUCCUCCCCAUCUAGGUUCGCUGCCCACGUUGAUGUGUCCUGCCGGACGGGACACCAUUCUGUUUAUGAGUGUGAAUCACCAGCACUGAAGACGUUGCACACGGACAACUGGAUGCCUGGACAAGGGCACACUCAGCAUCUUCACCAAGUUCUUUUUUUUUUUUAAAGAGAGAGAGAGAGAAUUUUUUUAAUAUUUAUUUUUUAGUUCUCGUUGGACACAACAUCUUUUGUUUUUGUAUGUGGUGCUGAGGAUCGAACCCGGGCCGCACGCAUGCCAGGCGAGCACGCUACCGCUUGAGCCACAUCCCCAGCCCCUUCACCAAGUUCUUUUCUCACUUUUUUUUCUACUUAAGAGUUUAUUUCUAUUUUCUGGGAUGUCAGGACUAUCCCUUUUUUCUUUUGAUUAGAAAGGAAGGCAUGGGGUGGGGUGAGUAAUGGUGUGAGUAGAAACAGAUAGGAAAGAAAGCAGGUUCAGGAACUCUGAUCACAGUGCAGGACAGGAGGCACAAGAUAAAAGCCUGCCAAAGGACAUCGAGACAGGGUGGUUGAAGACGGUGUCAAGUGCCAAGGUAAAGGCUUGGCACCAUUGAAAGAUUGUGAGCAAGAGAGGAAGGAAAUGCAGAGUAGACAGGAAUCUGAAAGCCAUGGGAACUACUAGAGUAAGUCCUGAAGCAGAUCAGGAAAAGACAGACUAUUCCCAUGUGCUCCAAGUAAGAUACAGAGCUUGACAUGGCAUUUGCAGAUAAAUGGAUGGAAUUGGAGAAUGUAAUGCUAAGUGAGGUUAGCCAAUCCCAAAAAACCAAAUGCCGAAUGUUUUCUCUGAUUUAAGGAUGCUGAC
rnacentral:lncRNA from 1 species